UACGUAGGGUGCGAGCGUUAAUCGGAAUUACUGGGCGUAAAGCGUGCGCAGGCGGUCUUGCAAGACAGAUGUGAAAGCCCCGGGCUUAACCUGGGAACUGCAUUUGUGACUGCAAGGCUGGAGUGCGGCAGAGGGGGAUGGAAUUCCGCGUGUAGCAGUGAAAUGCGUAGAUAUGCGGAGGAACACCGAUGGCGAAGGCAGCCCCCUGGGCUAACACUGACGCUCAGGCACGAAAGCGUGGGGAGCAAACAGG
rnacentral:rRNA from 1 species